CCUACGGGGUGCAGCAGUGAGGAAUAUUGGUCAAUGGACGAGAGUCUGAACCAGCCAAGUAGCGUGAAGGAUGACUGCCCUAUGGGUUGUAAACUUCUUUUAUGUGGGAAUAAAAUGUUCCACGUGUGGGAUUUUGUAUGUACCAUAUGAAUAAGGAUCGGCUAACUCCGUGCCAGCAGCCGCGGUAAUACGGAGGAUCCGAGCGUUAUCCGGAUUUAUUGGGUUUAAAGGGAGCGUAGGUGGAUUGUUAAGUCAGUUGUGAAAGUUUGCGGCUCAACCGUAAAAUUGCAGUUGAAACUGGCAGUCUUGAGUACAGGAGAGGUGGGCGGAAGUCGUGGUGUAGCGGUGAAAUGCUUAGAUAUCACGAAGAACUCCGAUUGCGAAGGCAGUUCACUGGACUGCAACUGACACUGAGGCUCGAAAGUGUGGGUAUCAAACAGGAGUAGAUACCCUUGUAGUC
rnacentral:rRNA from 1 species